rnacentral:lncRNA from 1 species
UUGUUAAAUUGAGAAACCAGGAUAUGAUUGCAUUCCCUGAUGCAUAUUUGUUUGUUUAUGUGAUUACGGUUGAAUUGGAAAAUGGAGACUAAGGAAAAAAGAAAAAUUAUGUGAUUAAGUGAAUGGAUGAAACGACAGCCCUAUUGGAUAUUCUGGGAGAUGGUGGACAGACCGGGUACAAUAGGGAACCCUACCGUGAACGUUGUCUCAUAUCGGACGGGGUAUGGGGACGACCCAUUUCACCCUCAUACCAGAUGGGGUAUUGAGGUUUAGUAAUUUGUUGCUCAUACCGGAUGGGGUAUGGGGACAACCUGUUAAUUGAGAAUGUUAAAGGAAAGGGUUCACGCGUAGUGGAGACAUCUCUAUGAACCCCCACAGAUACCAGCAGGCUGAUGGAAAGGGACAGUUGUUAUUUAAUUUAUUAAAUAUGGAUUUAUAAUG